AACAUGAGUUCAACAAAUAGACUGUGUUAUCUCUUAACUUGCUGCCUGAAUUUAUCGUUUUAAAGGGGUAACCAAGUUAUCUCUUGACUCGCUCAACAAAUAGAGUAUGUUAUCUCUUAAUAGACUGUUUCUUCAAAUUUCAAUACUUGGGAUCAAAAUAAGAACUUGACUAGCUGCUGAGACCUUUAUUUGGUCCGACUCAUAACUCAUUUCCUUUUUAUGAUGAAUUUCUAGUUUCUUAAUCCUGGGUAUAAGCUCUCUAUGGUUCUCUUCGGUUGCUGUCAUUUGCCAAUAAUUGUUAUUGUGAUUUACUACUUAAAUUAACAUAUACUUACUGAAAGCUUUCUUGGGUUGGCAGGACCACCUAGCACUAAUGAUGGAGCUUCUAGGAACAAUGCCCCCGAAAGUAAGAGAAAGUACCUUUAACCACUUCAAACUUCUUACACUUGUAUGCGUCAGCCAUCCAGAGAUGCCAUGCGACGCCUCACCAAAUUAUGGCGCCUGGAUAUUGAUGGCUGCCUAGAGUUAGAAGAAAGUUGCAGCAAUCGGAGUGGCCCAAACUUCCAGUGGCCCAACAUUUCCCAUAUUCCAAAAAUUGAAGUAGGUGGGAGGAGAAUUCAGAACUUAGAACGUUGCUGUGGUAUAUCAAGUCAAAAUCCACGGGCUGCACUUUAGGGUUGGUUAUAUUCCACAGAAGAACCACCACGUUUGUUUUGUUGAAGAACAGGCUCUUUCAUGAGCAUUUGGUAAAGACUACAUAAUAUCUCAACAUUUUACUCUUCAUAAUGGUUGGAUACCAACAAAUAACUAAGUAAUGAUUAUCGAGUAUACAAAGUUGCUCAUUUGACAAAGUGAAACUAUUUUUCUCUAUUCUUUUCCGUUGUUUCUUUUGAUAAAAUAUAAACUUUUUUCAGAUUUGAUGAAAAUAGAAAACAAUUAACUCAUUUUAAGUAUUUUGGCUGAAUGAUGAAUGAGUAGUUCAACCAACAAGUACCAUGUCCUUCUCUUAUGAUGCUUCAACUGCUUGGUGCAAAUUUAUGUACUGUUCUAGACUUUUCUUUUAGAUUUUUCACCUUAAACGUAUUUUUCUUCUUGGUUUUCUUCUUUCCUUUUUGAUCGGUGCACUACAAUGACUUGAACGCAUUGCCGAAGGUCGCUUUAAAGUUUGGGUACUGAACAACCUUUUGUUGAAACAAAUAGAAAGCUCUACAUACAAGAAACAUCAAAAAAUAAAAGCAUAUAGGAUAUUUAACUUAUUUUAAUGUUAAGAUGACUCUAGACUAGUAGCACUAUAUAAGUUAUAAUUGAGUUUCGGCGCUUGGACCAAAGAAAUUAUUUGUACGUCUAUUCAAG